GCUAGUUGGAAUCGAACACAUAACCCACCAGCCUACAAUGACUUAGGACUGAAACCCAAACCACUGGGCCGAAGCACAUUUCUUGUUACAUUUUCUCCAUAACAAGUACUUGUCCUAAAAUCUAAAUGCUGGGCUUGAAAAAAAAUAAAAUUAAGGCCCCAAAAAUGUUGGGCCCUGGGCUGGGGGCCUGGUUGCCCUAGCCCAAAACCGGGCCUGG
rnacentral:lncRNA from 1 species